GAUGAACGCUAGCUACAGGCUUAACACAUGCAAGUCGAGGGACCGGCGCACGGGUGAGUCACACGUAUCCAACCUGCCCUUUACUCGGGGAUAGCCUUUCGAAAGAAAGAUUACUACCCGAUAUAAAGGUUGGGGAUGCGUUCCAUUAGGUUGUUGGUGAGGUAACGGCUCACCAAGCCUUCGAUGGUUAGGGGUUCUGGGAGGAAGGUCCCCCACAAUGGAACUGAGGCACGGUCCAAACUCCUACGGGAGGCAGCAGUGAGGAGUAUUGGUGAAUGGUCGCUGACCUGAACCUGCCAAGUAGCGGGAAGGAGGAAGGCUUAUUGGGCGUAUACUUCUUUUAUAUAAGAAUAUGUAGUAGAUGAAUAAGGAUCGGCUAACUCCGUGCCAGCAGCCGCGGUAAUAC
rnacentral:rRNA from 1 species